UUUUUUCCCUAACAAUAUUAGAAUACUGUAAUUCUCAAUGGUACAGAAACGGCAAGGUGCUAUGUAACUGCUCCCCACCCUGAAGUGAUCUAGACAGUAGUCAUAACAAAAUCAUAUGGGCAUUUGGUUUCACCCAUUUCUGCUGAUCCUCACAAAUAUUAAUUUGAAAUGCAGAUUCGGAAAAGGCAAGUUCAAGCUUUUAUACACUUG
rnacentral:misc_RNA from 1 species